rnacentral:rRNA from 1 species
CAGCCGCCACGGUAAUACAGAGGGUGCGAGCGUUAAUCGGAUUUACUGGUCGUAAAGCGUGCGUAGGCGGCUUUUUAAGUCGGAUGUGAAAUCCCUGAGCUUAACUUAGGAAUUGCAUUCGAUACUGGGAAGCUAGAGUAUGGGAGAGGAUGGUAGAAUUCCAGGUGUAGCGGUGAAAUGCGUAGAGAUCUGGAGGAAUACCGAUGGCGAAGGCAGCCAUCUGGCCUAAUACUGACGCUGAGGUACGAAAGCAUGGGGAGCAAACAGGAUUAGAUACCCCGGUAGUCCCUGUCUCUUAUAC